UGUUUCACUUGCUAGAAACUGAGGCUAUAGUGAUAGAGGCUUGAUCACUUCGUGGUUUGCUUGCUGUAGGUCCGAAGAGAGUUCUCAGAGGGUAAUCUCUCAGACGUUAGUGCUGAAACAGUGGAUUGUCGUCUUAAAAGGGUGGCAGCUAAAGACUCGAUCAACUUGGGAGAUCGAAUCUAUCUUCCAAUCACUGUUAAAGAGUUGCCUUCAAAGAAGCAAGAGUGGCGUUGAAAUUCAGAAGAAGUGAAUUUUGUUCGUGGCCUUGUGUUGCAUAAGGUUCAGAUGCUUAUGCAUUUCUGUUGGUUACUAGAUGUGUGUCAAUUCGCUUUAGGCUUUUCACUUUCCACUUGCACUUUGAGCAGGACGAAGCCAUUAUUGCUGUGAAUAAACCCCCUGGAAUGCCUGUUCAAGCAUCAGUAGAAGCUUGGAUGAGGUGGCCAUCACUUGUUUGAAGUAUGAUCACCAAGAAAACCCUCGGCUGGUGCACAGACUUGACAAAGAUUGCAGUGGCAUCCUG